UAAAAGAAGGUUGAUCUCUCGUA
rnacentral:siRNA from 1 species